UGGACUUCAAGGACUAUAUAUUAAAUGUGAUACUUUAAUUAGCAUGGCCCCUGUGCAAGUAUGACAUGCAAAUUUGUGAAGCAUUCCAUAUUUUU
ensembl:snRNA U6 U6 spliceosomal RNA